ensembl:lncRNA
CGGAGACCGAGGCGCGUCGGUCUGGACCCUUCCGUGUGUCGGGGGAGGUCUGGUGGGAAGGAAGCUCCGCCCUCUCCCGGCCAGGAGCGACGGUUCAUGGUGUACAUAUGUGGCGGGUAUAAAGACACAGUGGCGGAGAGGAGUGCCCUGAUGGAGGGCGUCUACCCCGCCCUCUACCGUCACUGUAAGCGGCGGGGCUUCGACUUCCGGAUGGUGGACCUGCGUCAGGGGGGGGGGCCCCACGGCCAACCGCCACGACACCGCCCGGAUCCACCUGGAGACCAUCCGGCGGUGCCAGGAGACCCCGGGGCCCAACUUUGUGCUGUUCCUGGGUCAGAAGCACGAGGAGCCGAGCGUCCCGUCCACCGUGUCCCGCGAGG